GAUGAACGCUGGCGGCGUGCCUAAUACAUGCAAGUCGAGCGAACAGACGAGGAGCUUGCUCCUCUGACGUUAGCGGCGGACGGGUGAGUAACACGUGGAUAACCUACCUAUAAGACUGGGAUAACUUCGGGAAACCGGAGCUAAUACCGGAUAAUAUAUUGAACCGCAUGGUUCAAUAGUUAAAGACGGUUUUGCUGUCACUUAUAGAUGGAUCCGCGCCGCAUUAGCUAGUUGGUAAGGUAACGGCUUACCAAGGCUACGAUGCGUAGCCGACCUGAGAGGGUGGUAGGCCACACGGGAGGUGAGACAGGGUCCAGACUCCUACGGGAGGCAGCAGUAGGGAAUCUUCCGCAAUGGGCGAAAGCCUGACGGAGCAACGCCGCGUGAGUGAUGAAGGUCUUCGGAUCGUAAAGCUCUGUUAUUAGGGAAGAACAAAUGUGUAAGUAACUAUGCACGUCUUGACGGUACCUGAUCAGAAAGCCACGGCUAACUACGUG
rnacentral:rRNA from 1 species